rnacentral:rRNA from 1 species
UACAGAGACUGCAAGCGUUAUUCGGAUUCACUGGGCGUAAAGGGUGCGCAGGCGGUUGGGUGUGUCAGAUGUGAAAUCCCGAGGCUUAACCUCGGAACUGCGUCUGAAACUACUUGACUAGAGUACUGGAGAGGGAAACGGAAUUCACGGUGUAGCAGUGAAAUGCGUAGAUAUCGUGAGGAACACCAGAGGCGAAGGCGGUUUCCUGGACAGUUACUGACGCUCAGGCACGAAAGCAUGGGGAGCAAAAGGG